rnacentral:rRNA from 1 species
AUACGGAGGAUGCAAGCGUUAUCCGGAUUUAUUGGGUUUAAAGGGAGCGUAGGCGGGAGCUUAAGUCAGCGGUUAAAUGGUGCGGCUCAACCGUGCCCUGCCGUUGAAACUGGGUUUCUUGAGAGUGCAAGAGGCGGAUGGAAUUCAUGGUGUAGCGGUGAAAUGCUUAGAUAUCAUGAAGAACUCCGAUUGCGAAGGCAGUCCGCUGGGGCACGUCUGACGCUGAUGCUCGAAGGUGCGGGAAUCAAACAGGAUUAGAUACCCUGGUAGUCCGCACGGUAAACGAUGAUUACCCGCUGUCGGCGGUAGACAGUCGGCGGCCAAGCGAAAGCGAUAAGUAAUCCACCUGGGGAGUACGCCGGCAACGGUGAAACUCAAAUGAAUUGGCGGGG